UAUUGUCACCUCACCCCUGUGACAGCUGC
rnacentral:piRNA from 1 species